rnacentral:rRNA from 1 species
UUUUUCUAAUCAGUGAAACUAAUCUCCCCGUGAAGAAGCGGGGAUACUAAUAUAAGACGAGAAGACCCCAUGGAGCUUCAAACCCAACUACACCCCCAACCCCUAUAACUACUAAAUCCUUGAGGACCUGUAUCGUUGGUUUUAGGUUGGGGCGACCACGGAGUACAACAAAACCUCCACAAUGAACGGAAUUAAUUCCUAAUCUAAGAACUACACUUCUAAGAAUUAAAACACUAACACAAAAUGAUCCAUUUUUUGAUUAAUGAACCAAGUUACCCUGGGGAUAACAGCGCAAUCCAUUUCAAGAGCCCCUAUCGACAAAUGGGUUUACGACCUCGAUGUUGGAUCAGGGUAUCCUAGUGGUGCAGCAGCUACUAACGGUUCGUUUGUUCAACGAUUAAAACCCUACGUGAUCU